rnacentral:rRNA from 1 species
CACGUAGGGGGCAAGCGUUGUCCGGAUUUAUUGGGCGUAAAGAGCUCGUAGGUGGUUCGGUAAGUCGGGUGUUAAACCCCCAGGCUCAACCUGGGGACGCCACUCGAUACUGCUGUGACUUGAGUCCGGUAGGGGAGCGUGGAAUUCCUGGUGCAGCGGUGAAAUGCGCAGAUAUCAGGAGGAACACCAGCGGCGAAGGCGGCGCUCUGGGCCGGUACUGACACUGAGGAGCGAAAGCGUGGGUAGCAAACAGG